GCUGUGGAACUCCUACGGGAGGCAGCAGUGGGGAAUUUUGGACAAUGGGCGAAAGCCUGAUCCAGCCAUGCCGCGUGCAGGAUGAAGGCCUUCGGGUUGUAAACUGCUUUUGUACGGAACGAAAAGACUCCUUCUAAUAAAGGGGGUCCAUGACGGUACCGUAAGAAUAAGCACCGGCUAACUACGUGCCAGCAGCCGCGGUAAUACGUAGGGUGCAAGCGUUAAUCGGAAUUACUGGGCGUAAAGCGUGCGCAGGCGGUUAUAUAAGACAGAUGUGAAAUCCCCGGGCUCAACCUGGGAACUGCAUUUGUGACUGUAUAGCUAGAGUACGGUAGAGGGGGAUGGAAUUCCGCGUGUAGCAGUGAAAUGCGUAGAUAUGAGGAGGAACACCGAUGGCGAAGGCAAUCCCCUGGACCUGUACUGACGCCCAUGCACGAAAGCGUGGGGAGCAAACAGGAUUAGAAACCCUAGUAGUCCUACCACGU
rnacentral:rRNA from 1 species